rnacentral:rRNA from 1 species
CAUUGCUUUUAGUCAACUCAUUAAAAGUCCAUCCUGCCCAGUGAUACUUCAACGGCCGCGGUACCCUGACCGUGCAAAGGUAGCAUAAUCACUUGCCUUUUAAUUGUAGGCUAGAAUGAACGGACAAACGAAAUUCCAACUGUAUCUUUUUAACCCCUAAAAUUUAGACUUCAGGUGAAGAUACCUGAAUUCACUUGAAAGACAAGAAGACCCUAUAGAGUUUUAGUUUAAACCCUCCCCCUCACCUUUAAAACUUUGGUUGGGGCGACCAAGGAUACUCCUAACAUCCUCUCUUAAUACGACUCUAAGUCUACUUAAUGAUCCUAUCCUUUAGACUCCAAAACAAACUACCUUAGGGAUAACAGGCUUAUCUUCCUAAAGAGUUCAAAUUGACAGGAAGGUCUGGCACCUCGAUGUUGGCUUAGGGUAACCCAGUAACGCAAAAGUUACUAUGAGUCGGUUUGUUCAACCGUUAAACCCCUAC